UAACCCAGAUCGCGGGUGCCGGCGGAGCGCCGAUAUCGUGUCUCACUGCAGUCCCGUGCCGUCCGUUGUCUGGGUGAUUUCUUGUCGUCUCGAUUCUCGCGCGGUACACGCCCCCACCCGGCUUUCGGGCACCACGUUCACGGAGAUUCUCGGCGAAGGUGAGUGUAGUCGAGGUGCCGGUCAAGGAGACGCGCGCCCUCAUGUCGAUUCACCACGAGCGAUUGUUGUUCAAGGAGUGCCUCCAGUGCUUUCGUCUCGCUUGCCUUACUUUUCAACGCGAUACUUGUUUUCCUGGUCAUCCUCAUGUGUACACGUGUAUGUAUGGAAGAUUAUAUGGUAUAAUAAAUAAAACGCUAUCUGCAUGAAUUAUCAGUGACAGCAUUUAUUAAAUUUGGAUAAAGAUUUUAUGUCCAUCUUACGGAAGUGCCAUCAGAAAACCUCAAACGUGGACAGAUUACGAUGUGUUCAAGUCAUAAUUACUCUUGACUUAAGUAUAAACAGUGUGGUUUGUGACUACAGUCGAAAGAAAAAAGUAUAUACAUUAGAGAAAAGAAAGGACAAGACAGUACAUAGAGCGUCAAAUAGUUUUAGAGAGAUCAACGCAGGAC